AUCCUCAUCUUUUUUGUGUGUGUUUGUGGGGGUAAGGGAGGUGCAGUAUUUACUCAGUGAUCUUUUCUACUUUCUAGAAAGUGUCUGUCCUUCAAAACUAUUUAAGAGCCUCUCAUUAGUCAUUUUUUCCCUUAAAUGCUCUGGUUGAGCUUGAAUAGACCAGUUGUUGCUUAAGAAAGAAACUGAGAAAGAUUUUAGCUUUUCAGUCCUAUUUGGCAGAGAACUUCAGCUACCUUCUUAUGGACUUUGGCUGUGCUGGUGCCCUCGUGUGCUCUGGGCUAAGCCACAUACUAAAUUGACUUUUUGGUUUGU
rnacentral:lncRNA from 1 species